GCUACAGAAGAGAAACUAUGAGAAUUUUAUUGGGAAUGCACAUUAUCGACCAAAUGAUAAAAAAACUUGAUUUCCUGUUUCGGGUAAGAAAGGUAAGCAUAUAUGAUCUCUUGAUUUUAGUUAAUUGAAAAUAAACCAUCUAGUUCAUUCAGUAGAAUAUAAAGUAAAAUUAUUUUUGAUUUUUAAAGUGUUCUUAAGACCUCCAGUGCUCAGGGUCUCCGGAUAUCCAUGAUGAUGGUAACUAAUAACAAUAGUACCGACUGGAAUUUAGUAAGCAUUUAUUUCGUGCUCAGCCUGGAAGUGUUUUUAUAAUCAUGACCUCAUUUAAUCCUUCCCACAUGCGGGGGGGGGGGGGACAUUAGGCCAGGGAUUAGCAAACCUCCACCUGCUUUUAUCUGCAAAGUUUUACUGGCACACAGUUGUGUCCAUGCCUUUCCAUAUAGCUGAUGGCUUCUGAGCCACAUCAGCAGAGUGGUAGUUGUGACAGAGAGCGCAUGGCCUGCAAAGCUGAGAAUAUUUACAUUUACAUUCUGGCUCUUUACAGAAAAUGGUUGCUGGGUUGGGAGUUCCUGUGCACCCUUUACGGAUGAGGGUACCGAGACUUGGGUCGCAUCCCACUCUUAGUUCUGUCCUAGCAUGACCCAAAGCCUGGGCCCCAACCCUCAUGCUUAAGAGCUUGUUCAAAACCUCGGUGCAUCCUUAUCUGUUCAGGGAGGGGAGCGGGACAGGAGCGCGGAGGUGCAUUUUGACAAUGUGGUUCACAUGGCGAAUGUAUCUAACUGUAGAUAUGCAGAAGACUCCAGCGGGACCCUCAGAGUUGUGUUAAUUCCGUUGAGUUAAUUCCGAGUUUGGCCACAGGGCCUGAUGUCCGCACAAGUUACUCUAGACCUCAUUUACCAAUAAAUUGAAUGACAAGAGCUGGGUUUAUGGACAGAUUUGAGUUCUCUCCCAGAAACACUUUGCUUGUCUAACGCCCACCAUGUCCUCCCGGUCCCGUGGCAGGAUGUCUCCCUCUUGUUUGCAUGUGGGGCCCAUCGGGCUGAUGCAGGUCUAUGCUCCUUUCUCCCCUCACUUAGUGAAAGUAGAAGGAGAAGGAAGUGUCGUCGCAGGAGCGGGAUUCAGCCUCCUCUCCAUGAAAACAAAACAAAUCGUUGAUGGAUCAUAAGGCACAGCUAAUUUGUAACAGGUUACUUGCACUGUAGGGGCACAGUCUGUCAGUCACAGAGGAUGCCACUGUCCUGUUGGUCCCGCCCCGGCCUCUUUCUGUAACCUCUGAGCAUCUCUGCUUGCAUUUCCUCUGCCUGGAACGUCCUUCUGCAUUCUGGGUGCCAGAUGACCUCUCUCUGAUACGCGGGACCAGUUAACAUCAUUUCCUCAGGACGUCUGCCGGGAACCAGGGACUUCCCUGGCCGCUGCCCCUUGCUUGUGCAGUUCACCCCCACGUCUGCCCCUCUUACCUGUGUGCCCCAGUUCACUGCUAGCUCCGCUUGAGAGGAGAUUGCUUUGUUCACUGCCUCGCCCGCUGCUGGGACCAUCACUGAUCAAACCCGUUAGAUGUUGGCUGAACAGAUAAUGUUAUCACCUUUCGGUUUCUUGUGGUGGCCUUUGCCAGGCUUCGUGUAACUGAUGCAAAUGCUGAUUCUUGGUGAAAUCCUCUUCGUUAAAUCACUGUUCAGAAUAUAGUAGUAUUCUCUGGGGUGGCGCAGCGUUGUGUAGAGUCCUGGUACUUUCAUUGCAACGAUUUUUUUUUUAAGGUUUAAUUUGUUAACCUCCACCCCCAUCGUGAGGCUCGAACUCACAACUGGGAGAUCGAGUCACAUGCUCCACCCACUGAGCCAGCCAGGCGCCCCUUCGUUGCAACAUUUGAGCUUAAGGGGAACUCCGUGCAUUUCUAGAUCCCUUUGGUUCUGUUUAUUACACUUCUUUAUUAAAAGGAAAAAGAUUUUCCCGAGCUGUUUUCAGUUUUAUCUUGAUCCGCUCUCUUGAACCUUUUCCCCCCCUAGGACCCGAUGGAUGUGUGUUCUGUCCAUGAAAUUGAGUGAGUCCAUCCUUUGAGAAGGCAGAUGGCGGAAGCUCGUGAAAUAAGCUGUGACCGUGCCGUGCAUGUAACAUACCAGGAACACUACGGUUUUGUAAAGUUGUUCUGUUAACUUUUGUACCAAAUAGCAAUAAAAACCAUAGUUGGAACAGUUGGGUUGUACACAAAUGGAGACUGCAAAUCUCUAUUUUGUCCCUGAAUAAUAUUUUUUUUAGAGUUGACCAAAUAAGGAGUCUUUUGCAUACUUGAGCGCUGCUGAACACAAACCAUCCGGGUGGGGGGGGCGGGGGGGGGAGAGUCUAUAACGAACGCUUGCACCUCAGGUAACUCUGUACAUACGUAAGUUCGAAACCUGCUUGUUCAGAUACUGUGCGUCCCCUUUCUCUCUCCUGUAGCUCAUCCCCAUGAGCAGCUCCUGCUGUUUGUGUUCUUUCAUGGAAAAUGUAUGUUUAAAAAAAAAAAAAAUUCCCGAUGAUUUGUAUUAUGUUAAAUCCUCCUCAGUGCGUCGUCUUAACAAAAUUGUGAACGGAAGUAUCGACCCUCUGUGACUAUGUGCUGCAUAUACUGAGGUCAGCCAUUCUGAAUUCGGUGCCCUUUCAUUGCAAGUUUCAGUCUGUCAACUGAGGAAGAGUCCCGAUCUGCGACCCUUUUCUGAGAGCAGCCUGUGCCCCGUAGGGUUUUUAAGCGGGCGUGUCUACAGAGAAGUGCGUCUGUCCUCUUCAGGACAGCCCCAUAUCCAGUAAACAUACCAAAUUCUAUGUGGAGUUACUUACUUUCUAUCAAGUUCGUCACUUUUGUUGGAAAAUUCAGGGUUUUUUUUGGCUUUCGCUUGAAUUGGUAUGUAAAAAACCUGAAAUGCUGAAUUACACACGUGAAUUUCAUAUAUUGGGAGCAGUUUUAAAGGACGUGAAAGCGUUUGGGUAAAUUUUAGGUUUGUAUCUGGAAGUCCUGGUGUGCCUGGCCUUUGGGUUAACCGUGGACGUACACGAGUUAAUUGUAGACACGUUGAUUCUGAAUAAGGAACUGCCUGCCGAGCCUUCUGGUAAUGGGGAGGGUGCGAUCUGGUUCUUGACCUCAGUUGUCUUCCCGGUUUUGGUUGUGUUGAGCAACCAGAUGUAGUUUGGGUUUUAAAGUGAGGACGGCCACCAGCUGGCUUACUACUAGAUGUUUUAGACUUUUGUUCCCUUCCACAUGCUGUCCGUGGCUGAGUUUAUUCAGCAGUACGUGGGUUUAGCAACCACAAGGUAUUUUAUUAAGAAAACUGUUUCAAAAAUAAAUUUGCACUGUUAAGUUUUCUUGCCCUGCCCUUCUGCAUUAGAGCGAGAGUAAAGUCCUACAAGAAUCCUGAUUUUUUUUUGUUUUGUUUCAUUAUGCAACACGAAGCGUACUUGACCGAGAAGUCUUAACUCCCGUGGGAAAGGGGGACCUGAUUGGUCUGUUGGCCUUGUAGUGAAGUGCUUUGUAUCAGGAGAGACUAGUACACUAUCCACCAUUUUUCCUGUUCACAAGCUGAGCCAUAUGUACAUAAUCUAGAUUUUUGUUUUCAUAGUUUUGCACUUUUAUAGCCUAUUUUUGAAGAUUUAACACAUUUGCAAGAUGAUUGACUUGAUCUUUGCCUAAUCCAAUGAGUGUUACAGAAAGCUCGCUGUGACUAUAAAUGUAAAUCUUUAAAAGGGGAUACGAGAUAAUAGAGGGCUGAAAUUUAAACCUGUAUUUAAAAAAAAAAAAUCACCAAAUCUAUUUGAAAACAAGUCAAUUCAUGUCAUGCUGAAAUUUGGGGGGGCUUUCAGAUUUCUCUUUUCUAACCACAUUUCUCAAUUUCUGCAUACAUAAAAAUGUCCUUUUUUCCACAGCCCUUGUCCUCCAAUUUUUUUUUUUUUUUUUUUUUUUUUUUUUUGUCCAUCAGUAUUAACUAUUGGGAUACUACUGGUUUUGUAUGUUUUUUUUUUCCUUUGAGACAACAGUACAUAUAAUAGAGGUACAAUCCGUUGGAUUUUUGUUUAUGUAUUUAUUUCAUUCCAGUUUGAUUUAUUUUAAUUGUUGAUACUUGUCAAACAGUAGACAUUACUUGUUUUAUUUAUGAUAUAUUUCAGCUUAAAGUUAUGUUAUUAUAUGUGGA
rnacentral:lncRNA from 1 species